GUGCGAUGCCGCCUGGGGAAAUGCGGGUGCGAAUCCCGCGCUAUACCAGUAACCGUAAAUGCCGUCGAAGGGCCACCUCGCAG
rnacentral:ncRNA from 1 species